rnacentral:rRNA from 1 species
CGGCAACAGCUCAGAUUUGAAAUCUGGCCUUUGGGCCCGAGUUGUAAUCUAGAGAAGCAUUAUCCGCGCUGGACCGUGUACAAGUCUCCUGGAAUGGAGCGUCAUAGAGGGUGAGAAUCCCGUCUUUGACACGGACUGCCAGGGCUUUUGUGAUGUGCUCUCAAA